GAGAGAGUGAGAGAGAGAGGGAGAGAAGGAGAGCAUGCCGGGCGCCAGAAGCGGCAUCAACAAACAGUUAAUGCUUUACACUCCAGUCCAGUUGGUGGCAGUAAUACAUCAUAAGUUAGCUUGUCAACCACCAUUAAAUCGUACAAGAAGAAGAAGAAGAGUCUUCAGCGUAGCCAUUUUGAACAGGUGGUGAAGCAGGCUGAGGAGGUGAAGGGUGCCAAUCCAUGAUUCUGUGAGUGGAAAGAUGGGGCAGAAUGCGGAAUGGAGAGUAGACGAAUGAGGUCAGCCCUCUGCGUUUGAAGCGACAAAUCGGCCGUCAGCGCGCAUGUCGGAUACCAGGCACCAUAGCAUUCUGUCUUUCUCUCUCUCUCUCUCUCUGCAGAUGUUCUCUCUACCUAUUCAGCAGGGUGACAGUGGGCUGUGACAGCUUUCCCUAAUGACCCGUGAGUGCCCGCUUCUGUGUGCUGACAUUUUGGGUGGCAGCACAGAUGCCAGGCAUGCAGAGGGGGCGUUACUGCCGCUGGCAGAUCUCGCUCCAAAUAAAUUACUGUCAGAGGUGUUGCUCUAUCUCCCUCUCUCUCUUUCUCACUCAUGUACACAAAAUGCUGCAGACUUGCACCGUGUCCUAACCAGGCAUGAUGUGACUGUUCCGGUGACAAGCAAUUUGUCUCUCACACUGAAAGUAAAACUGUUAUGCGACACAAUAACAACCAAUCAGAAGAUACUUGAUGUUCAAUGUACCGCUGUAUGAAGUGGGAUUUUGGGCCAAUGAGAUUUUACUGUGGGCAAGGCUAUCCAGCACAGAGAAUUGAAAUUUAAACUUUAUUAAAUGUCAUUAAUUCAUUUGAUUCUACAUUUUCUUUUUAUUAAUGCUUAAAGGGUUAG